GUCGUGUCAUCAGAAGAAUCAGCCGUGGUGAGGUCAGGGAUCUUCCAGAGAGGGAACAGCCAGUGCAGAGACUAUAAAAACAUCCGCGCCCUCUGCUCCACCACUUCAACAGGGAGAACUGGAGGAGGAGCAAAGAAGAGAAUAGAGAAGAAGACUUAGCAUUAGAGGUGACGGGACAAAUCAGAGACAUCUCUCUCUCUGAGGUCACUGUUGUGUAAUUACAGGCAUGUCUGGUCCACUGUAUGUUACAGUACUAGGACUGCACUUCACUGGAAUGCAGCAGUCCAAGACUGAUGACCUUACCAAUAAAAAGAGCAGAGUCACAAAUGCCAGCGUUUCCAUGCCGUCCUGUAGCUCACCUUCACCCUUCUCACUUACCCCUCUUCUAAUUAUUUCACCCCACUCUGAGGUGGUUGAAGUAACAUUUUGUUCUGACAUGUACAUUUCCUAUUGGUUAAGACCACGUGUAGUGUCAGUCAGAGCUGACUGAUGGCUUUUUGACACAGAUGCUGCAGUGGACGUUAAGAGGGUGCCAAAUAUAACGCCGAGCGCGCUCACUGGCCUA